rnacentral:rRNA from 1 species
CGGAUCGGAGUCUGCAACCCGACUCCGUGAAGCUGGAUUCGCUAGUAAUCGCGCAUCAGCCAUGGCGCGGUGAAUACGUUCCCGGGCCUUGUACACACCGCCCGUCAAGCCAUGGAAGCCGGGGGCGCUUGAAGUGCGUUGCCGCAAGGCGCGCCCUAGAGCGAAACCGGUGACUGGGGCUAAGUCGUAACAAGGUAUC